rnacentral:ncRNA from 1 species
UGUCUUCAAGGCGGGGUGAAAUUCCCCACCGGUGGUUACAGUCCACAAGCUUUUCGCUGAUUGGGUGGAAUUCCCAAACCGACGGUCAAAGUCCGGAUGAAAGAAGAU